AACGAACGCUGGCGGCAGGCCUAACACAUGCAAGUCGAGCGAAGCCUUCGGGCUUAGCGGCGGACGGGUGAGUAACGCGUGGGAACGUGCCCUUUGCUACGGAAUAGCCCCGGGAAACUGGGAGUAAUACCGUAUGUGCCCUUCGGGGGAAAGAUGUAUCGGCAAAGGAUCGGCCCGCGUUGGAUUAGGUAGUUGGUGGGGUAAUGGCCUACCAAGCCGACGAUCCAUAGCUGGUUUGAGAGGAUGAUCAGCAACACUGGGACGGAGACACGGCCCAGACUCCUACGGGAGGCAGCAGUGGGGAAUCUUAGACAAUGGGGGAAACCCUGAUCUAGCCAUGCCGCGUGAUCGAUGAAGGCCUUAGGGUUGUAAAGAUCUUUCAGUGGGGAAGAUAAUGACUGUACCCACAGAAGAAGCCCCGGCUAACUCCGUGCCAGCCGCCGCAGUAAGAC
rnacentral:rRNA from 1 species